GAUGAACGCUGACAGAAUGCUUAACACAUGCAAGUCUACCAAGAAUCACUUCGGUGAGGAUGGUGGCGGACGGGUGAGUAACGCGUAAAUAAUCUGCCCUUUAGACUGGGAUAUCCUUUGGAAACGAAGGUUAAUACCGGAUAUUAUGAGAUGGACGCAUGUUCAACUUAUGAAAGCUAAAUGCACUAGAGGAGGAGUUUGCGUCCCAUUAGCUAGUUGGUGAGGUAAAGGCUCACCAAGGCCACGAUGGGUAGCCGGCCUGAGAGGGUGAACGGCCACAAGGGAACUGAGACACGGUCCUUACUCCUACGGGAGGCAGCAGUGGGGAAUAUUGGACAAUGGACCAAAAGUCUGAUCCAGCAAUUCUGUGUGCACGAUGAAGGUCUUCGGAUUGUAAAGUGCUUUCAGUAGGGAAGAAAAAAAUGACGGUACCUACAGAAGAAGCGACGGCUAAAUAUGUGCCAGCAGCCGCAGUAAAAC
rnacentral:rRNA from 1 species